CAGCCCUCAUCACUCCGCAGUCUGCCCCCCCAGCCCACUGAUAGCAACCAUCAUAAUGCCCCACCCAGCUUCCGGCACCUUUCGCCACUCCGGCACAAGCCGACACAGCUUUGCGAUCUCGCCAGCAUGCAGAGUCUGAUGUCUUCCCUAUAGAUGAUUCCAGAGACUCUGUGAGGCCACUAUUACAAGGUGAGACGCUUUGCGUUGAUUGGUGCUGCUGGACCACACUGGAGGUGCGAGUCUGCCGUGUAAUGGUUUAUGCCAUUACAAAGGAGCUGGCCUCUGUACUCAACUGGGCAGGGGAAAAAAAACCAAGGACCAGACAAAGCAAAAAAGGGCAUUUAAAGAGACAGCGCUGUGCAGAUGCAUAUUUGAUGGCCUGGCGCAGCAGGUAGGGGCGAACUCUAUGUCUGAGUUGGUCUUUGCUCAAGCAGUCCAGAAAUGGCUCAGAUAUGAUCCAGAUCGUACGGGUGGCGCGCAGGACGCACAUCAUCCAUCCCCAUCCCGGAGUAAAUAAUAAAAAGUGACGUGAAACAUAGAAAUAGCUGAUUCACCGAUGGAGGAGUUUGUGGACGAUGAGAACCAGCAGCAAAUGCUGACACUGGCAGAGGUAAGUCCCUUUAACCAGGCAGGAGCUGGACCCAAAAUGCAGGCAGUCAGACUCGAGGGAUGAACUCAAAAUCACAGCUUUAUUGGCUGGCAGGGGAAAACAAGC
ensembl:lncRNA